UACUUUUGCACUCGCUUUUGAGAAAUCAAGGAAAAAGAAAGCUGUUAAAAAAAGAUACGCAAAAGGCGGCAGUGUUCGGAGCGGUUCUGAUCUGUGCCGCAGCGUUUACGGCAGCGCUGACAGGAUGUGUUUCAACACAGGCAGAGACGGAAAAGAUACGAGAUAUGAAGUACGAGGUGAUUGAGGAAGAAGAUAUUCCCCAAAGUCUUCGGGAGAUGAUCAAAGGAGGAGAGAAGAAACCGUUUCGGAUUACAUAUUCGGAUCAGGGCUUCCUCUAUAUCGCACAGGGAUACGAGGUUCAGCCGACAACCGGUUAUAGUGUGGAAGUGAAGGAACUUUAUGAGACGGAAACGGCCGUCUGUAUAAAAACGACUCUGAUCGGUCCGAAAAAAGGGGAGGAAAAAGAAAAAGCAGAAACAUACCCCUAUAUAGUCGUGCAGACGGAAGAUGUAAAAAAAGAUGUUUUGUUUAAGUGAGGAGGAGAAAGAUGGAUCUGACGAAAAAAACAGUUCAUUAUACACAGGAGGGAAAAACCGUUUUUGACCGGUUUUAUCUGGAUGAAGAUUACAAUUUGCCCGAGCAGAAAGAAGCUGUUCAAAGAAUCGUGUACAGCAGUGCCAAGCUUAAGACAGAGGAUGUUCGUCCUGUGGAAAACUAUGUGAAAGUAACAGGAAAAGCGUAUUACAAAAUCCUUUAUAUGACGCAGGGGGAGACAACGCUUUCGGUGUUGGAAGGAAAGAUUCCGUUUGAAGAGAUGAUCUAUGCGGAAAAUAGAUGAGGAGAGAAUCCUAAGGCCAACGGGAGAAGGGUUGUUAAGGAACUCGGCAAAAUGACCCCGUAACUUCGGGAUAAGGGGAGCCUCCUACGGGAGGCCGCAGCGAAUAGGCCCAAGCGACUGUUUACCAAAAACACAGGUCUCUGCUAAAUCGAAAGAUGACGUAUAGGGGCUGACGCCUGCCCGGUGCUGGAAGGUUAAGAGGAGAUGUUAGCCGCAAGGCGAAGCAUUGAAUCGAAGCCCCAGUAAACGGCGGCCGUAACUAUAACGGUCCUAAGGUAGCGAAAUUCCUUGUCAGGUAAGUUCUGACCCGCACGAAUGGCGUAACGACUUGGGCGCUGUCUCAACAGCCCACCCGGCGAAAUUGUUGUACUGGUGAAGAAGCCAGUUACCCGCAACUAGACGGAAAGACCCCAUGGAGCUUUACUGUAGCUUAAUACUGGAAAUCGGUAAAUCAUGUACAGGAUAGGUGGGAGACUUGGAAGCCAGGGCGUCAGCUUUGGUGGAGUCACCCUUGGGAUACCACCCUUGAUUUGCUGGUUUUCUAACCUGCGGCCGUGAAUCCGGUCGGGGGACACUGUUAGGUGGGCAGUUUGACUGGGGCGGUCGCCUCCUAAAAGGUAACGGAGGCGCUCAAAGGUUCGUUCAGCACGGACGGAAACCGUGCAGUGAGUGUAAACGCAUAAACGAGCCUAACUGCGAGACCGACGGGUCGAGCAGUAACGAAAGUUGGAGUUAGUGAUCCGGCGGUAUGCAAGUGGAAGUGCCGUCGCUCAACGGAUAAAAGCUACCCUGGGGAUAACAGGCUGAUCUCCCCCAAGCGUCCACAGCGACGGGGAGGUUUGGCACCUCGAUGUCGGCUCGUCACAUCCUGGGGCUGUAUUCGGUCCCAAGGGUUCGGCUGUUCGCCGAUUAAAGUGGCACGCGAGCUGGGUUCAGAACGUCGUGAGACAGUUCGGUCCCUAUCUGUUGCGGGCGUAAGAGAUUUGAAGGGAGCUGUCCUUAGUACGAGAGGACCGGGAUGGACGUACCUCUGGUGCACCAGUUGUCCUGCCAAGGGCAUAGCUGGGUAGCUAUGUACGGACGAGAUAAACGCUGAAGGCAUCUAAGCGUGAAACUCCCCCUAAGAUUAGAUCUCUCAUUCGAAAGAAGUAAGGCACGACGUAGACUAUGUCGUUGA
rnacentral:rRNA from 1 species